AGAUGCUCUCUCCAUGGAGAUUGCAGUUGGAGCCCUCUAUGUUUGUUUCUUUUCCUUUUUUAAUUUAACAGUUUAUUUGAGCAAAGAACGAUUCACAACUUGAGCAGACCCCAAACCAGAAUAGGUUCAGGGAGACUCCAGCACCGCACAUGGUUGAAGAAAAUUUAUGGACAGAGAGAGGAAAGGGAUGGACAGACAAUGGAAUUGAGAGAAGAACAGAUACGCACAGAGGGAAGAUAAUGUGAAGAGACACCGAGAACAAGGUCAUGACGAGGACAGAGAUUGGAAUGAUGUGGCUACAAGCCAAGAAAUGUCAAGGAUCGCCGCAACAUCAGAGGGUCUUCUGUGGUGGGAGUAACUCUACGACUCAUCAAGGACCAAGCGAGCAAACCCAGGAGAUACAGGAUGGAUGCUGGCAAAGGGGAGACGUGAGAUGAAAGACAGAGCUUCCUGGAAGAGGAAGACAUUGGAAGUGCCUAACAUGCUUUGCUGAUCCUCACAAUGUAGCAGCUGCCUUGAAAGGGAAUCGAUCCAUGCUAGUCAUCAUUGCUCUGUGUGUGUGUACACGCACAUGUGUAUAGGGCAUGGGACAUACAGAGAUGUGUGUUCGUGUGCGUGCAUAAGUGAAUGUAUAUAUGUAUAUGUGUCUCCCUUUGUACUUAGAUAUCUAAAUGAGAUUGUAAUGGGCCCUGUGCUCUUUUCUCCCCAAUUGUAUACUUUUUUCCUCUUUUAUUAAGAUACUACAUACAUAUAAGUGAAAAAAACCAGAACUCCAGGCAUAUAGCCUAAUGAAUUUUUUACAUAUGUCUAUGCCUGGAUAAUCACAACUCAGAUCAUGAUAGAAAACUCCCAGGACCUUAGGUCUGAACCCAAGUCAGUCAUCUCAUAGCAGUUCUUUGGUCCGCAUCCCAGGGAGAGAGGUCUACUAAGGUCAGGGCCAACCAAACUCUAACCAGAGGCAGGGAUGAGGCUGGGGGUGGUGGGGUGUCCUCAACCACACACCACAAAUGCCUGGUGCAGUUAUAAAUAGCCCUGUGGAGGUGGAACCUUCCCAAGGGAGCCAAUCCUGGAGGAUGACGGCCCAACAGCCAAUCCCAGCCCUUGACAAGAGGAGGCCCCUCCCACAGCAGAGUCAAAGACACCAAUCAUGCCCUUUCCCAGCCUCCUUUGCAGCCAGUCCAUGUGACUGCUUCCCAGCCAAUAGGAACCAUUGGCCUAUCUACCAGGGCCUUCUAGGAAAGAGCUUCCCUUCAGCACAAAAAUAGAAGAGAGUAGAGUGAGAAAGUUCUAUCUCUUCUUUUGCCAGGCACAUUCAGGCAAGAGUCUUGGAGCGGGGGCAACUGUCCAUGAGGGAAGACGAUACCAAUACACCAAGGAGGCCAGUGGGUUGGAGGCUGAGCCCUUGGUGACAUGGUUGAAUCUCCAAACCGGAGGUUAGCAAGCUUGAGUUGUGAAGGGUCAGAUAGUAAAUAUUUAGGCACCCUGGGCCAUGUAUGGUCUCUAUUGAGGCUGCUGCUUGCUAUUUAGCAACCUUUCUUAAUGUUCGGGCUAUAGAAAGAACAGAGAGAGCAGAGUAUAUUUGACCCAUUGGCCAAAGUUUGCUGACCCCUUCUCUAGACCAAUGCAGCAACCACAUAUCUCCAGAGUUCUUGUUAAGUAUAAUGAUUUAAAACAAAAACAAAAACUAUUUUGUAAGCUACUCUAAGUCAGAGAGUCUGUUACUUGCAGCUAAAAGAUUCCCCAAGGAUAUUGUAGUACAUCUGCUUUCUUAGACUUAUUCCAUAUCUUAAGGAAAUAAUAUUGAAGGAAGUAUUUGAGAGGUCCAGAGGAAAUGUAGGACUUCUUUCUCAAAAUGCAGUGUCUGCUACUGCUUUGGGGGGACAGGAAUGGGUGGAGGGACAGAAGGCUGUGGAGAGUAAGGGCAGAUAGCUGGGAGUGGAGAGCUCUUUAAGAAACAAUGGUGAUAUAGCAUCUCUUGUAUUUU